CGAACGCUGGCGGCAUGCCUAACACAUGCAAGUCGAACGAGACCUUCGGGUCUAGUGGCGCACGGGUGCGUAAACGCGUGGGAACCUGCCUUUAGGUUCGGAAUAACAGUGAGAAAUUACUGCUAAUACCGGAUGAUGUCUUCGGACCAAAGAUUUAUCGCCCAAGGAUGAGCCCGCGUAGGAUUAGCUAGUUGGUGAGGUAAAGGCUCACCAAGGCGACGAUCCUUAGCUGGUCUGAGAGGAUGAUCAGCCACACUGGGACUGAGACACGGCCCAGACUCCUACGGGAGGCAGCAGUGGGGAAUAUUGGACAAUGGGCGAAAGCCUGAUCCAGCAAUGCCGCGUGAGUGAUGAAGGCCUUAGGGUUGCAAAGCUCUUUACCCGGGAUGAUAAUGACAGUACCGGGAGAAUAAGCCCCGGCUAACUCCGUG
rnacentral:rRNA from 1 species